rnacentral:rRNA from 1 species
CCUACGGGAGGCAGCAGUGGGGAAUAUUGCACAAUGGGGGAAACCCUGAUGCAGCGACGCCGCGUGAGUGAAGAAGUAAUUCGUUACGUAAAGCUCUAUCAGCAGGGAAGAAAUACUGACCUUACGGUCAGCAGACGGUACCUGAGUAAGAAGCCCCGGCUAACUACGUGCCAGCAGCCGCGGGAAUACGUAGGGGGCAAGCGUUAUCCGGAUUUACUGGGUGUAAAGGGAGCGUAGACGGUGCGCCAAGUCUGGAGUGAAAUGCCGCAGCUUAACUGCGGAACUGCUUUGGAAACUGGCGAACUAGAGUGCGGGAGGGGUAAGCGGAAUUCCUAGUGUAGCGGUGAAAUGCGUAGAUAUUAGGAAGAACACCGGUGGCGAAGGCGGCUUACUGGACCGUAACUGACGUUGAGGCUCGAAAGCGUGGGGAGCAAACAGGAUUAGAUACCCCUGUAGUC